GAUGAACGCUGGCGGCGUGCCUAAUACAUGCAAGUCGAGCGAACAGACGAGGAGCUUGCUCCUCUGACGUUAGCGGCGGACGGGUGAGUAACACGUGGAUAACCUACCUAUCAGACUGGUAUAACUUCGGGAAACCGGAGCUAAUACCGGAUAAUAUAUUGAACCGCAUGGUUCAAUAGUGAAAGACGGUUUUGCUGUCACUUAUAGAUGGAUCCGCGCCGCAUUAGCUAGUUGGUAAGGUAACGGCUUACCAAGGCAACGAUGCGUAGCCGACCUGAGAGGGUGAUCGGCCACACUGGAACUGAGACACGGUCCAGACUACUACGAGAGGCAGCAGUAGGGAAUCUUCCGCAAUGGGCGAAAGCCUGACGGAGCAACGCCGCGUGAGUGAUGAAGGUCUUCGGAUCGUAAAACUCUGUUAUUAGGGAAGAACAAAUGUGUAAGUAACUAUGCACGUAUUGACGGUACCUAAUCAGAAAGCCACGGCUAACUACGUG
rnacentral:rRNA from 1 species